GACGAACGCUGGCGGCGUGCCUAAUACAUGCAAGUUGAGCGCUGAAGGUUGGUACUUGUACCAACUGGAUGAGCAGCGAACGGGUGAGUAACGCGUGGGGAAUCUGCCUUUGAGCGGGGGACAACAUUUGGAAACGAAUGCUAAUACCGCAUAAAAACUUUAAACACAAGUUUUAAGUUUGAAAGAUGCAAUUACAUCACUCAAAGAUGAUCCCGCGUUGUAUUAGCUAGUUGGUGAGGUAAAGGCUCACCAAGGCGAUGAUACAUAGCCGACCUGAGAGGGUGAUCGGCCACAUUGGGACUGAGACACGGCCCAAACUCCUACGGGAGGCAGCAGUAGGGAAUCUCCGGCAAUGGACGAAAGUCUGACCGAGCAACGCCGCGUGAGUGAAGAAGGUUUUCGGAUCGUAAAACUCUGUUGGUAGAGAAGAACGUUGGUGAGAGUGGAAAGCUCAUCAAGUGACGGUAACUACCCAGAAAGGGACGGCUAACUACGUG
rnacentral:rRNA from 1 species